GUCUUCUUAGACAAGCGACAGAACCACUAUACCACCGAGGCAUUGUCGUAGUAACCUCUGAGUAAAAAUAAUUUUAUCCUAAUUGGUAUCUCACCGUUCGAACUGCUUUUGCUAGCAUGUCAAAUUUUGCCCUAUUCUCCCCGGAAACAGAAGUUAAAUACCCGACAUAAUUAAUCAAGAUACAGUCAUAUGUAUUUUAAGCAUGUCAACAUUUUAGAAAUUCGCAAAAUCGUUAUUGAUCGUUUCUUGAUGAAUAAGCGUGUUUGACCGAGUUUUCUUGAUAUUUAGCACUUAAUUUAUAAAAAAAAAUUAUGGAAAAAACAACUUAUGAAAGUCCAUACUAUUUUUCUUGACCUGCAAACAGAGGCUUUCUUUUAUUACCCUGCAAAGAAAGGCCCUGCUAACAGAGGCUUUUCCCUUGUGUUUCUCUGACUUAUGGCUAUAUCACGUAAUGACCGUAGCGGUCACAGGUCGAUGACAAGGCUCUUUUAUAGAACUAAGCUUUAACCGGAAGAUGGUCACCGGAAGUUUACAGGAGGAUCUAAAAAUUGCCGUGUUGCGAAAGCACAGAAAGACCACAAAAAGUUUACGGAUGAUCGAUCCAACGAUCUGACGAUCGAGUGACCCAGAAGUCCGUCCAAUAACUCGUAAAUGCUUUGUAAGCAUUCACGAGUUAAAAAGGUGGGCGUUCGUAGAAAAAAAGAGCUGGGCGUCCGUUCCGUUAAAAAAAAGGUGGGCGUCAAGAAAAAAAUUUAUAUAUUAAACAUGUCCCUUAUGGGCCACCGUACAUCCAUGCUGACCGCGAAAGGGUAAGUUUUGGAAAUGUUACGAAACGUGUGUUAAUGCUUGUUUAUAGUGGUAGGAUACCACUAUAAACUAGGAUACCAAUAUAAACUAUAGACCCGUCAUUGUCAACAAAGGAACCAAAAUUAAUCGCAUUGAUCAACAAUUGUGUAGUUUAUUCCUCGCAAACUCUUUGAAAUUAUUUGUUAUCAUCUUAACUAGAAACUCUCUGUGCUUGGCCACAAUCUCCUUUUUGUCCUAAAUUUUCAAUCAGACAAAAGACUGAUAAUAAACAAAAUAAAUUUGGGCGAAUUGUAAGUUUGUACUAUUGUCAUAGUCUUGCUAAAGCAUACAGACAAUUUUAACUAAACAUAUUGAACAUUGGAAUGCCUUACAGAGUGCAUAAAAAUACAUUAAUUUUUCACCUGAUGUCAAAAUAAAGGAUUGAUUGAUUAUUGUUUUGAUGAUGAAUAACAACUUUCAUUCUAAAUAAAAAGGCUGUAGGAUGAUAGUGCCUGUACAACCCUCCCUGGAUCUGCUGAAUUAACACCAGUGAGUUAUAUCUAUCAACUAACCCUGGAAAUGGUGUAUUCAUUAUAAAUUUCUUGCAACUUAGAAUAUAUUGUGCAGCAUUUUGAAAUGCCUAGCUCAAUAGAUAGUGAAUAUGGGAGCCAAUCAAAUGGCAGGAUUUGUGAUAGUAUGCGAGUAGAUUUAUACUAAAAUACUAUAUAUACUCCUUGAAUAUGCUGAUUAUAUAUGAGCCUGGGAGAACGUGCCGUAUGUAAAGAGUAUCUCACGACAUUAAUUUAAAUAAAAUACGAUCUUUGGCCCUCGCGGAAUGGGCAGAAUAUCUUAGCAACUAAAAGUAUUGACCAUACAAAUGAGCUCUUUUUCAUAGGUGAUUCACAACAGUGUCCCUUGUGAACCAAGAGAAGAUCUCUACAAUCUUUUGGAUGCAAGAGAGGCUACAGGCCUCAGAAUCAGUGUCCCAGCAUACCGACAAAAUGUCGACGAAUUGUAUUCAAACCCCAAAGAGGGCAGAUUAAUUGUUUUGUGCAAAGAUAAAAGCACGGAACUUUUGGUAGGUAUUGCUAUCUUCAAGCUCCAGAAUAUUGACGCAGAUUUGGUGUCUCCUUUGCCACAUUCUCAGGUCCCAGUGUUUGCUGCUGCAAGACAUCAGUACUGGGUUCUGUGGUCAGAAGGAUAGAUUCUCGAGGACACCUUUUACGUAUUCAUUCCACAUUGCGACGAAAUUUGGAAGCAAGAUAUUUGCACCCCACUCUGAAGGAACAUUUAGAAACUCCGGAACGGAAUACUGUUCAAGAUUCCCAAUCAUCUAUGAUGAGUCAGGAGGCAACAGCUACGAGUACUGCAAGUGCAACUAAAGACACAGAAGGAAUUCUAGAAUUAUCAAGCACUGGCCAAGUUUCACAUAGCUAGUAAAAGACAAGUGUUAGUGGUAGUCAGUGGUAGUCCUCCCCCGACACAUACAGGAGGGUCUUUCCAUUUGAAGCUAUAGCAGCAGUCAGCUUUACUUUAGUAGUGCCCACUCUUUUAACAGUCUUCAUAAUAAAAUCUUGUAGGACAUGCUCACAAUGCCACAAAUUACAAUUGCAAUUGAAGACUCUCCUUUUGUCCUUGUCAAUACCUAUGCGCCUAAUGACAUAAAAGAACAGCGCCCAAAGAAAAACCCCUGGGCGUUCGUUGCAAAAAAAAUUUCUCGAAUAAGGAAAUGGUAUUUCAUAACGCCUGAUUUCGUUUUAACUACUUAUCCGAAUAAGGAAUAGACUAAAAAGAGGGUUCUUUAGUAUUUUCUAAACAUUUCUCGAAUAAGGAAAUGGUAUUUCAAAACGCCUGAUUUCUUUUUAAAUAUUUAUCCGAAUAAUGUUGCUAUGAUGUGGUAUAAAUCAACCAAUCAACUAAUACUACUUCUUGUGUUUAAAGGAGAACGCCUAUUCGAUGAGAUUCAAACUUUUUACAAGCCCAAGUGUAAAUUUUAUUCUGGCUUCUGAGUUUGCAGUUACGAAAAAGGCCAAAAAGGGUUUUCUUUAUCUUAUUCGACUUUGUGUUUAGCGCAAGCAACUUUCAAUAGAAGAGACUACUGCAAGCUAUGUGCAUAAGGUACGUCACCUACGAAGGGCAUACAAACGAGCCCCCAUCCCGCAAAAACGUUUAAACGGCAUAUUUCGUUGUUUGGUUCUGAUGCCGAAAAUAUCAAUUUUAAAAGUUGCUGGGAAAAAAAUUCUGUUCGUUUUUCCCAGGUGGGACAAUUCCUUUUAUUCCUAGCCAGCAGUGUUAGGCAUUUGAGCACAUGAAUAAUUGGGUUUAUCGAAGAUGUCCCCUGCACAGUUAAGGAUAUCUCGACAUUGUUAGAUAGCAAUUGACUCAAUGACACGGUAAGAAGUAAUACUGAGUGUUGAUAAAAGAAAAUGAUAAUCUACAAAACCCAACAAUGGACAUCUUUCUCCAGGACAAUCCAUGUGUACCUGAAAAAUGGUUGAGACAGCUGCGAGAAAGGUUUGAGCCCUUUCUAACAUGGUGUUUUCUAUUAUACGUCCACAGCGCACAAUCGUUUCUAACAGCAGACGCGUUAGCCGUGAUUUUUUAGGGGAGGGAGGGGGGGGAACAAGAGGUUAGAUGGACUUAGGCAUUAAUCGUUUAGUCAGAUACUUUCUAUAUUGAUAAGUACAACAGAGAUUCCCAAACGUUUUGAAAAUGACCAGAACCCCUCCCCCCACCCCCCCCCCCCUCUGUAUUAAAAGACACCAGCGCAUUUAAUAUGUUGCUUUUUCUUUUGUAUUGCUCAAUGUUGCUAAAUGUUGCUGCAAACUUUCAUCAAAAGAUUUUACAUUACAUGUGAUGUAAUGAUAUAAAACGCCGUUAUGAAUUUGUAGGUACAGGUUCUUUGAGUACAACACCCUGCUGAUACCAGUCAAUACAGGAAAGCACUCGACACCUGUGGGCACUUAUUUAUUAUGACGCUGUCAUAAAUGGAUCUUCGUUUGUGAUGUCUGAGUGGACUCUACUUAAAACCAAUAAGGUAUAGGAGAGAGCAUCCUUUUUUAUUAUAUUUAUGACUGAGAACUUAGGGUUACGCUCCUGAUAGUUCUUGUAUGUCAACAGAAUAUACCACUUCAAACAAAUUCGGACGACUGCGGUGUAGGAAACAAUGACUGUAUUCUUGUUCUGUUUGUGCGUUUACUGUUAUUUUUCUCAAUUGUCAAUUAACUAUCCGUGUUUACAUGUUAUAAAUUUUAGCGAGUCCUUGGCCAAGGCAUGCUGGUUUUACCUAUUGUUAUAUUUUAGCGAGUUUAUGUAAAUUGUUCAUGUAACUUUGUAGUUUGUCAAAAUCUAGUCAGUUUUCAGUUGUAUGCUUCGCCGCCAGCAAUAGUUUUCGCUCUAUUGUCGAAAUGUCACCGUUAAGAUAAAGUAAUUUUUUAUUAACCUAUUUCCUUUUUUCUCUAUUUCCGUGUAGAGUAAUAUAUGUAUGUAUUUUGUUUCAGUACCGUAUUAAAGGGAAAUUAUAUUUACGCGUAACUUGCGGUACAUGCGGUGUUUUUGUUUGCCAAGUAAGCUUUUACUAUAAGGUGUUUACUAUAUAAGGGAUAUUACUUAGUCUCUAUAUGUUGUAAUAUUUUUAUGCUGCUGAUCAUCACAUCGGAAUAAUAAAUUAAUGUUUUGCCAGAUUGCUAGAUGUCUAGGGCUAUACAGUGCCAUCGGUUAUGAGCAGGUAAGAUAAUGUAUAUAGUAGAGUCCAAAUUGUUUUUACUUAUAUGGGGUUUUGCCUGAAUGUAAAAAAAAUAUUUCAGAGAGAUGUGCCUAUCUUGAGGCAACGGAUGGUUUUGGAGAUCGAGGCAGGGCGUCUGUUUGACCGAGACCACUGUUUCAUGUCCUAGGACAAGUUAGGCAACCUGUACUCUUGGCUGUCUGUUAGACUUGUGGAAGAAAACCUUUUACGACUCCAAUCAAUCAACUCCUGCAGAUGUUUAUAUCAUAACAUAUCGUGCAAAAUCGUCCUUCAGGAAAUCCAAUCUUUUUCAGAACAAUAAAUGGGACAACAUAAUCAAAGUGAUACCGCUUUUCUUUUCCAUAGUGUAUCACGCACAAACGAAACAAUCCUGUGUAGGGUCAAUUAUAAAUGUAAAUGAAAUUAUUUCAAAUAAAUUUAUUCAUUGUG